rnacentral:rRNA from 1 species
UACGUAGGGUGCAAGCGUUGUCCGGAAUUAUUGGGCGUAAAGAGCUCGUAGGCGGUUUGUCGCGUCUGCUGUGAAAACGCGAGGCUCAACCUCGCGCCUGCAGUGGGUACGGGCAGACUAGAAUGCGGUAGGGGAGAUUGGAAUUCCUGGUGUAGCGGUGGAAUGCGCAGAUAUCAGGAGGAACACCGAUGGCGAAGGCAGAUCUCUGGGCCGUAACUGACGCUGAGGAGCGAAAGCAUGGGGAGCGAACAGG